GGACGGCUGAGGCGGCACGAGGUGGGCAUCCGGCCACCGCCUCCCCAUCUAACGGUCAGCCAGGCCCGAGUGACCUCCACAAAUAGGGCUUUCAUCGGAAUCGCGCUUCAGAUCCGGGAUCGCUCGGGUGGAGGCAGCAUUAAAUAUCCUUCAGCCAUUUCAAGAUCUGUGGCACAUAGUACGUGAUGAUGAUAUCAGCACCUAUAAGCACAGCACACAGGUCACUCUCUCACCUUCACUGCUUCUGUCUGCCACAACCCGGAAGGAAUGUCAGGCAGGCCCCGCCGUUUUUUGUGAAUGGGCCUGAAGCGUCGCUGAUUGGCUCCGUACAAAUCGCGGGUCAGGGUCCAACCAAUCAGAUGCUGCCAGCCCUGCUGAGUUUGCCCAGCAAUUUCUGGUUCUGUUUGUGACUCAGACUACCAUCUAUCUGCUGCUGUGGAGGGAGUUGUGUCCAAAGAGGCAAAGAUAAGUGACAAAAUAAAUCUCCAUAAUUGACUGAAACAAAGCAUAUAUCUGAGUCAAUGCUAGCGAUGUAAACUGAGGGAUCAGUGCUAGGUACACAGACCUAGCUAGGACAUUACAAGCAUUCACUGAAACUGAAUUAUGAACAUAUUAUUAGGAGCAGGAGUAGGCUGAUCAGCUUCUCAAGCCUACUCCAACACUGAAUGAGAUCAUAGCUGAUCCAAUUACUCCACAUUCCCAUCCAUCUCCAACAACCUUUCACUACUCCCCCUCCCCAAUUCCUUAUCAAGAAUUGAUCUACAUCUCCCUUAAAAACAUUCAAGGACCUCUUCUUCUUCGGAAAAAGAGUGAGAUUGUGAGAAUUGUUUUCCUCAUCUGUGUCUUAAAUGGGUAAUCUCUUCUUUUUAAACGGUAACCCCUACAUCUACAUUCUCCACGAGAGAAAGUUGUUUUUUACGCUUCUGAACUCCAGUGGAUACAACUCUGUCCUGUCCAAACAUUUCUCAUAAGACAAUCUGCCCAUUUCAGGUAAUAUUCAAGUAAACCUACUUUCAACCGCUCCCGAGACAACAAGGUGCAGGGCUGGAUGAACACAGCAGGCCAAGCAGCAUCAUAACUGCUCCCAAUGUAUUUAUAUCUGUUCUUAAAUAAGGAGACAUAUAUAUGUGAAUACAAAAUAUUAGAAGUAGGCUAUUCAGCCCUUCAAGCCUGCUGUGCCAUUCAAUAUGAUCAUGGCUGAUCUGUUCAUGUUUUGAAUUCCACAUUUCCAUCUACCCUGCUAAUUUUUGAUUCAACUACAUAUCUACCUAACUCUGCUUUAAAAAUAUUCAAUGACCCUGCUUUCAUGGUCUUCUGAGGCAGUGAGUUCCAAAGUGUCAAAACCCUCAGAGA